GUAACCAACAACUCAGGAUUCAGGCACUGAAUCCUUCACUGAAAUGCAUUCAGCAGUUGGUGGGUUUCCUGGAGGAACUGGUAAAAAUGUGGGUGCUGCACUUUAUCUUUGUUGAAGGGCUCCCUCCUCCUCAGAAAAAAAAAAAGAUACAAUUUGUGUAUUUUGUCCAACAAGAAAGAAAGUCAUGUUUGUCAACUUAUUAUUAGGCUUGCCUGUCCAAUAGUAAAUGGGACAACUGUGUGAGGAGGAUGGCAUAUGGAUUGCUCUCAGUUUUGCUGCAAUCCAAACGAGUGUUUCAUCGAGGAUUUGGGCAUGUGUGAUGAUACUAAAGCAAAACGCUGCGUGGGUGAAUGGAACUAAGGUAUAAAAAAUAUGAAAUGUUUGAAAACGUUCAUAAAAGUGACAAUUACAACUGAAGUGGGAAAAAAAAAAAUUGUUUUAACAAAUUUGAUGUCAGGUGAGCAUUGGAAUUCUUAAAUUGUUAAAAAAAUAAAUAAAUCUUAAUUUCAGUAACCCUGUCCGCAUCAGGGAUUUGCAUCUAGAUGAUCUUUGAGGUCCCUUCCAAUCCAAGCCAUUCUGUCAUUCUAUGGAAUUUGGUUACGUUUAUUUCUUCUUUCUCAGAAUUUUCCAAGCUGCUGUCCAGAACUCCCCCAGAACAGGUGGCUGGGGGCAUGGAAACCAUGGAGCCUGUGCUAGCGAAUGGCUGGGAUGCCUGAGGUGCUAAAGGAUGCAGCUGGGCUUCAGAGGGGAGCUCUUUGCUUUUUUUAUGGCAUUUCCAAUUGCAGUGCUUGGUGCUGAGAGGAUUUUGCACGUGUAGAGAAAUGAGGUGAGGUGGUGAAGCCAGAGUGGGCUUGGACAGCCCUCUGGUGGCCUGGAAACAGGGCUGAUGGCUGGGACAGACAUGAGAAUUAGGGAAAACUCAUCCUUUUUUCACCAUAAUUUCCCAUGGAAUUCUACAGCAGCUUGGGUUUAUGUCAACACCAGACACGAGGAUGUAUUUCAGUUCCUGUUUGGCUGCUGUAAAGACACACUGGGAGAGGAAAGAGAGAGGAGGAAAGGGUUAAGGUUAUCUCCAGGUUUAUUUAAGUAUCCAAUUGUUUAACCUAGAGACUGAAAAAAAAUCUGUCACUAUUGAAAAAUGUGCAGCUUAUUGAAUACCUGUCAGAUUUUGCAUAUUUUCCUGCCUCAUAAAAAAGGAAUGACAGAAUACCAAACAAAACAAACGAACAACAAAUAAAGAACAAAACAUCUGUAUGUAAAAUUAAAAUGGGCAACAUCUAUUUGUGCAGUUGUACGUUUUGGUUUCCCAGUGCCAGUUGUCAGUAAGAUGCUAAUUUUGAUCAUGUGCUAGGAAUGUUGAGUUAUUUUGCAAUUUAAUUUCUCAGAGGAUGUGAAAUGAAGACAGAGAGCAUCACUAAGCCACGGGGCAGCAUCCCUGAAGAGAGCAGCAGGAUUUACAGAGCUGUGUGCUUGAGAGGAUGCUCUCCUGCAGUGUCCCAGGAGAUGGCCUUGGAGCCUGCCACGGUUAGUGAGCUCAGCCUGAAGCCCUUGUCCUAGGUCCAGCAGACUGAGGAAG
rnacentral:lncRNA from 1 species